rnacentral:rRNA from 1 species
GUCUACGGCCAUACCACCCUGAACGCGCCCGAUCUCGUCUGAUCUCGGAAGCUAAGCAGGGUCGGGCCUGGUUAGUACUUGGAUGGGAGAUACUUGUGUAAGAUACUUCCGUAGUUU